rnacentral:rRNA from 1 species
ACGGGUGAGUAACACGUGGGAACGUACCCUUUUCUACGGAAUAACCCAGGGAAACUUGGACUAAUACCGUAUGUGCCCUUCGGGGGGAAGAUUUAUCGGAAAAGGAUCGGCCCGCGUUGGAUUAGCUAGUUGGUGGGGUAAAGGCCUACCAAGGCGACGAUCCAUAGCUGGUCUGAGAGGAUGAUCAGCCACAUUGGGACUGAGACACGGCCCAAACUCCUACGGGAGGCAGCAGUGGGGAAUAUUGGACAAUGGGCGCAAGCCUGAUCCAGCCAUGCCGCGUGAGUGAUGAAGGCCUUAGGGUUGUAAAGCUCUUUCACCGGAGAAGAUAAUGACGGUAUCCGGAGAAGAAGCCCCGGCUAACUUCGUGCCAGCAGCCGCGGUAAUACGAAGGGGGCUAGCGUUGUUCGGAUUUACUGGGCGUAAAGCGCACGUAGGCGGAUCGAUCAGUCAGGGGUGAAAUCCCAGAGCUCAACUCUGGAACUGCCUUUGAUACUGUCGAUCUGGAGUAUGGAAGAGGUGAGUGGAAUUCCGAGUGUAGAGGUGAAAUUCGUAGA